rnacentral:rRNA from 1 species
GGCGGUUCGCCGCCCCCGACGUCGCGAGAAGUCCAUUGAACCUUAUCAUUUAGAGGAAGGAGAAGUCGUAACAAGGUUUCCGUAGGUGAACCUGCGGAAGGAUCAUUGUCGUGACCCUGACCAAAACAGACCGCGCACCCGUCAUCCAGCCUGCCGGCGGCGGCACCGUUCGUCGCUCGGCCAAGUCCUCGAUWACCUCCUCUUCUCGGAGUGGGGGCUCGGGGUAAAAGAACCCACGACGCCUAAGGCGUCAAGGAACACUGUGCCUAGCCCGGGGACGCGGACGGCUUGCUGGCCGCCCCCCGUGUUGCAAUGCUAUUUAAUCCACACGACUCUCGGCAACGGAUAUCUCGGCUCUCGCAUCGAUGAAGAACGUAGCGAAAUGCGAUACCUGGUGUGAAUUGCAGAAUCCCGCGAACCAUCGAGUCUUUGAACGCAAGUUGCGCCCGAGGCCAUUCGGCCGAGGGCACGCCUGCCUGGGCGUCACGCAAAACACGCUCCCACCCCCCUCAUCAGGGAGCGGGACGCGGCAUGUGGCCCCCCGUCGCGCAAGGGGCGGUGGGCCGAAGAUAUGGCUGCCGGCGUAUCGUGCUGGACACAGCGUGUGGUGGGCGACCUCGCUUUACUUCCGCAGUGCAUCCGGCRCGUAGCCGACGUGAUGGCCUUGAAGGACCCUAUGAACGGUGCGCACGACGCUCCGACCGCGACCCCAGGUCAGGCGGGACUACCCGCUGAAUUUAAGCAUAUAAAUAAG